rnacentral:rRNA from 1 species
CGUAGGGUGCAAGCGUUGUCCGGAAUUAUUGGGCGUAAAGAGCUCGUAGGCGGUCUGUCGCGUCGGCUGUGUAAACUCGGGGCUCAACUCCGAGCUUGCAGUCGAUACGGGCAGGCUAGAGUUCGGCAGGGGAGACUGGAAUUCCUGGUGUAGCGGUGAAAUGCGCAGAUAUCAGGAGGAACACCGGUGGCGAAGGCGGGUCUCUGGGCCGAUACUGACGCUGAGGAGCGAAAGCGUGGGGAGCGAACAGGAUUAGAUACCCUGGUAGUCCACGCCGUAAACGUUGGGCGCUAGGUGUGGGAUCCCUUCCACGGGUUCCGUGCCGCAGCUAACGCAUUAAGCGCCCCGCCUGGGGAGUACGGCCGCAAGGCUA